rnacentral:rRNA from 1 species
UACAGAGGUGGCAAGCGUUGUUCGGAAUUACUGGGCGUAAAGGGCGCGUAGGCGGCCUUCUAAGUCGGACGUGAAAGCCCCAGGCUUAACCUGGGAACUGCGUCCGAUACUGGGAGGCUUGGAUUCGGGAGAGGGAUGUGGAAUUCCAGGUGUAGCGGUGAAAUGCGUAGAUAUCAGGAGGAACACCGAUGGCGAAGGCAGGUCUCUGGGCCACUACUGACGCUGAGAAGCGAAAGCAUGGGGAGCGAACAGG